CGAGGCUACAAAAAGAAAGAAAAAGGCCUGCUGUUGUUAUUCGUCUUUAAGACACCGGGCCUGGUGAUGUCCUGACUGCUGUUGGAGCUAAGGAAGUAAAGUCGAAUUGAAUCUCCAGUGGUGCCAGAAACUCCAAGGAUUUCCUGGGGCCUUGUGCUGUGAGCGAAAGCACCCUCCAGACUGGACCUCAAGAUAUUGUGCCUCAGUUCAUUGAGGGAGUUGAUCUACUCAGCUUUGGAAUUCUACUCUGGGGCAUUGCUGUCUAGAUUAGUGAGGAGAAAUGAGUGGUGGAUUAGCACCAAGUAAAAGCACUGUAUAUGUAUCCAACUUGCCUUUUUCUUUGACAAACAAUGACUUUAUACAGGUGAAGAAGUGGAAGAAAGUGAAGAUGAAGAAGACCCUGCUCUUGAUAGCCUCAGCCAAGCUUUCCAGCAAGCUAAAAUUGAAGAAGACCAACAAAGAUGGAAGCCCAGUGCAAGGGAACCCUCAACAUCAGAUGAUUCAAAACGCCCAACGAUAAAGAAAAGUGCACAUUUCAGUGAUGAGGAAGAACUUAGUGACUGAAAUUGAUUUAUUAUGUACAUAUCACCGAAAUAUGAAAAUCUUAAAGCACAGUUUAAUUGGUGUUAAAAUUACUCUUGGAAUUUUUAAUAUAAAACUAACCUGUUUUGUA